rnacentral:misc_RNA from 1 species
AACGCACCUUGCGCCCUUUGGUAUUCCGAAGGGCAUGCCUGUUUGAGUGUCAUUAAAUUAUCAACCUUGUUCGCUUUUGCGAGCUUGAGCAAGGCUUGGAUGUGAGGGCUUGCUGGCUUCCUUCAGUGGAUGGUCUGCUCCCUUUAAAUGCAUUAGUGGGAUCUCUUGUGGACCGUCACUUGGUGUGAUAAUUAUCUAUGCCAGUUGACUUUGAAGCAAACUUUAUGGGAACCCGCUCAUAACCGUCUCGCAAGAGACAAUUUUUUAUUGACUUGACCUCAAAUCAGGUAGGACUACCCGCUGAACUUAA